rnacentral:antisense_RNA from 1 species
AGUCCUGUUCUGACCUCCAGACCUUGCAUGUGGAUUGGUUUUGCUGCCAUAAGGAAAGGGCUCAAGGACAGCAGCUCAGCAUCCUGUGGCUACACACGCAGAGUGAGAGGGACCUGGUGGCAGGGCCUAUCAAGGGUCUGCGUGGCCAGGAACGAGGAGUGUCAUGACCGAGAAUGAAUACUCUGGAUGUGGUGGCUGGCUCCUUGUGAAGAGGAAUUCCACCAGAUUCCAUGUGAUUAACCUGCAUUGAGAUCCUAGUAUGUGUCUGACACUAUGCAGAAAUACUUCACUCCCUCUUCCACGGCAGACCAUGAUGAACUAGGGUUUGCUGUUUUCACGGCUUCUGUCACUGUUGGAGCUGAGGCUGAGGCUGAGGCUGCAGCAGGAGCUCCUCUGGCCCCAAGGCAAGAGACAUGUUCUCUGCAUCCCCAGGGGACCCAAAGCAACUUCUGGUUUGGGUUAAAGAGGACUUGGGUGACCCCACCCUGCCAGUCAUCCACCCUCUGGCAGCCAGGGCGGCAGCAGGGGAAGGGGCAGGAGGCUGCCACAGUGCUUCUCUCCCCUGCCAUUUCCUCUGCAGCUCCCUCUCUGGCCCUGUUUUUCAGACCUCUAGUAAUAAAAACAAGCCAAUAAAAUGAACAUGAAAAUAUA